GGGUAGUUUGACUGGGGCGGUCUCCUCCUAAAGAGUAACGGAGGAGCACGAAGGUUGGCUAAUCCUGGUCGGACAUCAGGAGGUUAGUGCAAUGGCAUAAGCCAGCUUGACUGCGAGCGUGACGGCGCGAGCAGGUGCGAAAGCAGGUCAUAGUGAUCCGGUGGUUCUGAAUGGAAGGGCCAUCGCUCAACGGAUAAAAGGUACUCCGGGGAUAACAGGCUGAUACCGCCCAAGAGUUCAUAUCGACGGCGGUGUUUGGCACCUCGAUGUCGGCUCAUCACAUCCUGGGGCUGAAGUAGGUCCCAAGGGUAUGGCUGUUCGCCAUUUAAAGUGGUACGCGAGCUGGGUUUAGAACGUCGUGAGACAGUUCGGUCCCUAUCUGCCGUGGGCGCUGGAGAACUGAGGGGGGCUGCUCCUAGUACGAGAGGACCGGAGUGGACGCAUCACUGGUGUUCGGGUUGUCAUGCCAAUGGCACUGCCCGGUAGCUAAAUG
rnacentral:rRNA from 1 species